UAGCUCAGCUGGAUAGAGCGUUCGUCUACGGAACGAAAGGUCAGGGGUUCGAAUCCCUUG
rnacentral:tRNA from 1 species